UGCGUAGGUGGGUUGGUAAGUCAGUGGUGAAAUCUCCGAGCUUAACUUGGAAACUGCCAUUGAUACUAUUAAUCUUGAAUAUUGUGGAGGUCAGCGGAAUAUGUCAUGUAGCGGUGAAAUGCUUAGAGAUGACAUAGAACACCAAUUGCGAAGGCAGCUGGCUACACAUAUAUUGACACUGAGGCACGAAAGCUGGGGAUCAAACA
rnacentral:rRNA from 1 species